CAAACCGUUUCUGAGACCUAUUGCAUCAUUUUAUGGUAAAAACCUGGCUCAAAACUCUGUUGUACACAAUCGGAUACUUGGAUAAAAUACUAUUAA